GACGAACGCUGGCGGCGUGCCUAAUACAUGCAAGUCGAACGCAGUGGGGACGGGUGAGUAACACGUGGGUAACCUCCCAUCAGAGGGGAUAACACUUGGAAACAGGUGCUAAACCGAUACUGAUGGAUGGACCCGCGGUGCAUUUGCUAGUUGGUGAGGUAACGGCUCACCAAGGCCACGAUGCAUAGCCUACCUGAGAUGGUGAUCGUCCAACAUGAGACUACGACACGGCCCAGACUCCUACGGGAGACAGCAGUAGGGAAUAUUCGGCAAUGGACGAAAGUCUGACCGGGCAACGCCGCGUGAGUGAAGAAGGUUUUCGGAUCGUAAAUCUCUGUUGUUAGAGAAGCGGUAUCUAACCAGAAAGCCACGGCUAACUACGUGCCAGCAGCCGCGGUAAUAC
rnacentral:rRNA from 1 species